rnacentral:lncRNA from 1 species
AGGAAGAGAUGGAUGCAUUGUCUUAAAACACUCCGUUUUCUUCCCAUCAAGUACAUUAUCUCCCCAAGGUUGUAUUACACAAAUGUACAUUUUGAAGUAAAUAUCUGGCACCACAGGCUGGCUCAUGAAAUAGAAUGUGCACAGGAAAGAGAAUCACAUGUCAUUAAAUGUGAAGAAUUAUAUAAGGUACCUAAGCUGGAUCCUGGCUUCUCAUGAUGCUCAAUGAAUUGAGAUGGAGGAGGAGAAGUGGGGAGGAGAAUGAAGAGGGAAGAAGAAGGAGGAAGAAGAAAUCUGUAAGCAAAGCCAUCACACUAUAGUUUUUUCCCACCGAAAGAAUGUUUAUUAAGCCAGAGCCUGGGAUAAUAAUUUGAGGGUUUGCUCAUGUCUCUCUUUUAUCAUUCAUAAUUGAAAUACUAUUGACAUUUCUUGGGCAUCUGAAGAUGAGCUUAAUUUAUUUUCAUCUUUUUUGAAAUUUGAUAUCAAUAACAUGCACGAAGCCACAUGGUGCCCAAAUGAGGCUUCAAAAGCUUCUGCUAUAAAUAAAGAAAUUGCCUGCAUUUUUUAUAGCUCUUUACAUGAUUUUAUUUGAUCCGAACAACCACUCUGUGAGAGGGGCAGAGGAGGUGUUAUUAUCUUCACUUUUUUUUUUUCAAAAAGUAUAGUAAUAUAGAUUUACAAAGCCUAAUGAAUUUCCCAAGAUUUCCCAGCCUGAUGUGUCAGACUUGAGGUUGAAAACCAGGUCUUUGAUUCUCUAUCUGCUCCCUCCAGUACAACAUGGCAUUUGCUCAAGGGAGUCAGGUCAACAUAGAACCAUAAACUCAGAGUGAGAAUCCUCAUGUCAGUUGCCAAACCACGUCCUUUGAGGAUAAUAACAAAUAUGAAGUCCCUUCUCUCACUCAGUCAAUUUACCUUUCAAGCAACUCAUCACCAUCAAGUCCCUCCUGUGCCCUGAUCUUCCUCAUGAGUCCAUAUCCCUACUUUAAAACCAGUAAAUCUCACCUUUUCUAGAAAGUUCUCCUUGAUUAAUUCUACUUUAACUUGACUUUUAAACAAAGAGGUUCUUAAUUUCUUAGUUUGCAGUAGUUCUUAGUUUGUACAUGUUGGGUUGAAUUUUUUUUUUUUAAUAGUGAUUUUAGCUAUAGUGCUGGACACAACUUUGUAUAGUAGGAAAUGGUUUUUAAAGUAUUAAACAGUUUGAAAUCGAUAUUCUAUAAAUAAAAAGAGCUGAAAAUCAGCAAUUUAACAUAGGUCAGUUCAGUCUUAAUCGUCAUUUUGUAGAGAUUGUUUUUUCUCAGUUUUCUCUUUUUCUCCUUCAAAAAAUGAUGCUGGUCUGAGCUAACUGCUUGCUUCUGCCCCUAAAGUAAAAGGUGAUAACAGAAAUCAGAAGAAAAAGAGUAUCUUACACUUGUGGGUCUCAAAAACCUGAACCAUCAAGGAAAAGACAUCAAUCUAAGGAAGAGGAAGUUUGGGGGAAAACAACAAACCUCUCCACCGCUUUGGUGAGGAGGGAAACUAAAGGGAUUAGAGCCAACUCCAUGUGUAUAAGUUUCAACGAUCUGAGCAAGAAGGCUGGAUUGAGAAGAUCUUUGGCUCCUCCGAAGAGGGCACUGCCCAGCAUCAGUGGACAGAAGCCUUUGGGAAGCUGAGGCAGCACCAGGAGUUUGCUGGGAUGGUCACUCCACAAAGGGUGCUGCCUCAAAGCUCCAUUUCCUGUCUGUUGAUAAUUACUAGCGUGUUGCUCCUUGAUCACCCCAAAAAGAAUCCAAGGGAAUGACUCUACUCUCUGUCCUGAAAGUCUGCCUGGCCCCUGCCCACCUCCUCCCCAUAGAAACCUCCUCCCCUUCACUCCAGAGCCCCAGCCCCAAGCCUUGUCUACCCCAUACUUUUGCAAGGUGCUUGACCAAUUCGCCCAAGGCAGAAACGUCUUUCAGGCACCUGUGUCCCAUCUUGCGCUUAUGCAUGAUGUCGCAACGCUCAAGCACUUUUCUAACCAUCUUUCUUUAUAUUUUUCCAACAGGUUUUUCAAAUAAGUAAGAGAGAAAAGUGCUAAGAAUUAAAUACCCUCUUUUUAUUUGUUCGCUGGGUCUUCCUCAAGAGAUACACCCCACCUAUUAGGAUAUUUCUCCCUCAUUUUAAUGUGUUCAGAAAAAAGGGAAGAGCUGCAAUAACUGUUACUGAGUUACUUGUGUUCCAGGGGCUUUCAGAAGAUUAAUCUGGCAUUGGCGCCCGAGACGGAUGAAGUGGUGAGAAGCCAGGUCUUGUGGGGGGGGCUUUUGCAGGAAUCUGGGAAUGAGGUGACUUGCUCAGAGUUACUUAUCACACUGGGCUUUAAAAAUGAUAAUUAUCUUAGUGAUCUGUUAUCUCAAAGCUGGGUUACUCACUCAGAUGAAUAAAGUAUUCAUUUAUUU